rnacentral:rRNA from 1 species
AGACAAUAGAUACCCAGGUAGUCCACGCCGUAAACUAUGGAUGCUAGCUGUUAGAGGUAUCGACCCCUCUAGUAGCGAAAGCUAACGUGUUAAGCAUCCCGCCUGUGGAGUACGGUCGCAAGACUAAACAUAAAGGAAUUGACGGGGACCCGCACAAGCGGUGGAGCGUGUUGUUUAAUUCGAUGGUAAGCGAAGAACCUUACCCAGGCUUGACAUCCUUGGAAUUUUGGCGAAAGCCGAGAGUGCCUUCGGGAACCAAGUGACAGGUGUUGCAUGGCCGUCGUCAGCUCGUGUCGUGAGAUGUUUGGUUAAGUCCAUCAACGAGCGCAACCCUUAUAGUUAGUUGAAUUUUUCUAGCUAGACUGCCCUGGCAACAGGGAGGAAGGAGGGGAUGAUGUCAGGUCAGUAUUACCCUUACGUCUGGGGCUACAAACACGCUGCAAUGGCCGGUACAAAGGGCAGCCAAGUCGCGAGACGGAGCAAAUCCCAUCAAAGCCGGUCUAAGUUCGGAUAGCAGGCUGAAACUCGCCUG